AUUGAACGCUGGCGGCAGGCUUAACACAUGCAAGUCGAGCGGAGAUGAGGUGCUUGCACCUUAUCUUAGCGGCGGACGGGUGAGUAAUGCUUAGGAAUCUGCCAUUUAGUGGGGGACAACAUUCCGAAAGGAAUGCUAAUACCGCAUACGUCCUACGGGAGAAAGCAGGGGAUCUUCGGACCUUGCGCUAAAUGAUGAGCCUAAGUCGGAUUAGCUAGUUGGUGGGGUAAAGGCCUACCAAGGCGACGAUCUGUAGCGGGUCUGAGAGGAUGAUCCGCCACACUGGGACUGAGACACGGCCCAGACUCCUACGGGAGGCAGCAGUGGGGAAUAUUGGACAAUGGGGGGAACCCUGAUCCAGCCAUGCCGCGUGUGUGAAGAAGGCCUUAUGGUUGUAAAGCACUUUAAGCGAGGAGGAGGCUACUGAGACUAAUACUCUUGGAUAGUGGACGUUACUCGCAGAAUAAGCACCGGCUAACUCGGUG
rnacentral:rRNA from 1 species